CCUACGGGUGGCAGCAGUGAGGAAUAUUGGUCAAUGGACGAGAGUCUGAACCAGCCAAGUAGCGUGAAGGAUGACUGCCCUAUGGGUUGUAAACUUCUUUUAUAUGGGAAUAAAACGUUCCACGUGUGGGAUUUUGUAUGUACCAUAUGAAUAAGGAUCGGCUAACUCCGUGCCAGCAGCCGCGGUAAUACGGAGGAUCCGAGCGUUAUCCGGAUUUAUUGGGUUGAAAGGGAGCGUAGGUGGAUUGUUAAGUCAGUUGUGAAAGUUUGCGGCUAAACCGUAAAAUUGCAGUUGAAACUGGCAGUCUGGAGUACAGUAGAGGUGGGCGGAGUUCGUGGUGUAGCGGUGAAAUGCUUAGAGAUCACGAAGAACUCCGAUUGCGAAGGCAGCUCACUGGACUGCAACUGACACUGAGGCUCGAAAGUGUGGGUAUCAAACAGGAUUAGAUACCCUGGUAGUC
rnacentral:rRNA from 1 species